rnacentral:rRNA from 1 species
GAUGAACGCUGGCGGCGUGCCUAAUACAUGCAAGUCGAGCGAACGGACGAGAAGCUUGCUUUUCUGAUGUUAGCGGCGGACGGGUGAGUAACACGUGGAUAACCUACCUAUAAGACUGGGAUAACUUCGGGAAACCGGAGCUAAUACCGGAUAAUAUUUUGAACCGCAUGGUUCAAAAGUGAAAGACGGUCUUGCUGUCACUUAUAGAUGGAUCCGCGCUGCAUUAGCUAGUUGGUAAGGUAACGGCUUACCAAGGCAACGAUGCAUAGCCGACCUGAGAGGGUGAUCGGCCAAACUGGAACUGAGACACGGGCCAGACUCCUACGGGAGGCAGCAGUAGGGAAACUUCCGCAAUGGGCGAAAGCCUGACGGAACAAAGCCGCGUGAGUGGUGAAGGUCUUCGGAUCGUAAAACUCUGUUAUUAGGGAAGAACAUAUGUGUGAGUAACUGUGCACAUCUUGACGGUACCUAAUCAGAAAGCCACGGCUAACUACGUG